UCUAAUUUUAUGUUGUUCAAAGUUUUAAAAUUUCCCUUGAUGUAGGUUGAGAUUUGUGAUGAUGAUGAGUUUCUCGUCAUAGCUUGUGAUGGGAUAUGGGACUGCAUGUCAAGCCAACAACUUGUGGACUACGUUCGGGAACAAUUAAAACAUGAAAGUAAACUCUCGGUGAUUUGUGAGAGAGUGUUUGAAAGGUGCUUGGCACCAUCAUCUGGUGGAGAGGGGUGUGACAACAUGACAAUGAUCUUGGUUCAGCUUAAGAAACCUGUUACUUCAGCUGCUUCUGUCGAGGACAAGCCUCUCUCGUCGAAUCCAUCAUCUGAGAAGGAUAAAAGCUCAGCAAAAGCUAAAUAGAUCUUCCCAUGACUAUCGAAUGACUGCAUUUUCUGCAAGUUAGGGCUUUUGGUGAUCUCAGAAAAUCAUAAAUUCGUUCGGAUUAGGAAAGAAUUCUCAUGACAGUAUGUGUUCACGGUGUUUUGUCAAGUACACGUAUAGCUUACGAGUUCUGUACAUGUGUCUGGGAGUUUGUCUUUUGGGUUCCCUCCAGAUUUUGAAGAGCUUUGCCAGCAAAUUUUUAAGACUGAACACUUGCUUCAGAUGGUAACCUGACCAAGAAAAAAAUAUAUCAAGAUUUUAUUCUUUUUCUUUUCAUAUUGUUUGUGUGAAGUGUGAACAAUAAUUCUAUGAAUGAACACCAUGCAGCGGCUGUACUUGAAUACAUACAUUGAAAGUUUUGAAUUGGAUGCAUGUCUAACGAACAAUACAUAACUAUAUUAGUAAGCUACAAUAGUUGUCCCAGAAGUAUACAAUACAUAACUAUGUUGAUGUCUUCA